CUGGCCCUUUGGGCGCCAGGGGGGCUAAGGGGAAGCCCCCCAGCUGGACACCCAGGGAUGCCCCCUAAAUGCCUAUCAUUGCUCCUGCACUGCCCCCACCUCCGGUCAACCUGCUAUGCCUUGGUAGCUUCCAAACUUGCCCCCCUUUUAUGUUUUGAAACCCUGAAGGUCGGAGCGUAAAGCCGUGGUAGAGUCAACUUCUGUCUGAGCCGAGGAUUUCUGGGACUUGCCAGCCUCGUCUCCGUGUGUCUGAUUGGACACCUGGCAGGUCCGGGCGCUCCCCCUCCUUGAGCCGGCGACACCAGGACGGGUCAGACUGUCCUGGCCUAGAGGAGGUCACCGCUGGGGAGGAAAAGGGGGUAACGGAGAUUCUGCCGCACAGACGGGUGUCUGUGUACAGGCUGUUUUGGUGGAAGCGUCUACUGUGUCAGG
rnacentral:lncRNA from 1 species